rnacentral:lncRNA from 1 species
GUCAAGUUCCUCGGUUACUGAUUGGCUGGGGGGUGAGAGAACAACAACAGGGAGUGACGCAAGAGUGUGUGGAGCAGUUCGUCAGUUUUCCGUGGUUCACCGUCUGUCCACCUGAUUACAGGAACGUUACUGCUGUAAAUGCACUAUGGUUAUCACUCUGGAGAAUGCCCAUCGACUCAGCCAUUGAGAAAGAUCACCAACUGCAAGAGCUUACACCGGAGAGCCUAAUGUCUUCAUCAAGAGACAUCAAGUGCUGGCAGGAGUAAGUGUGAGAAUUUCUGUAAGAAUAUAGUUUAACAGUUUUUCCAUCCGUGUUGGUUGCAAAAAAUCUGUGAUUCUAAAGUGCAUCACUGUUUACAGCAAAUCUCGAAGAGCCACACAAGAGCAAAGCUGUAGGAGAUAAAGAUUUUGAAUAUGUCCUCGCUACAAUCUGUUAGAUAUUACCUGUGAGGGGCAGCGCAUUUCCUGCAGGUUCGAUGCACACGGUAAUGUAUACAGUACUACACCACCAUGCCUAAAUUGUCAGCCACAGGGUUCUGUACUUGUACUUGUACUAUGUGUCAUUAUUUUUCAGCGGUAAUUUUUUCAUUUGCGCCGUCGCUAAUACUUGUCGCAUGUGCAUUGAAAGCUGAAAUGUGUUAAUCUAACAAUUAUAGGCUUUUACUUUGAAAGUGGAAUUGUCAAAUCCAACCUGUUACACUAGACUGGUUACACAUGUACGAAUGGUACAUGUGUUUUGGAGACUGACUUUGCGAUUUAGUUUUUUCCCUCUACAGGUUUUGCUGAGGAGUGUCUGUUCAGGGCCAAGUUGAGUGUGACCACAAGGCUGAUGGGUCCUGUGAUGUGUGCUACGUUUGUUUCUAUGUGAUGAACAAACAUCUAACACUCAUACCUUCCCUGGCUUUUGUUACAGAUGGCGUCAAUUGAUCAUGAAACUCCAUUUGGAAAUGUGUAAUUUGUUCUUAAACACAGCUGUUAACUGUUUGUUCGUUCAUCACCACAGGGUGGCUGUGGGUAACUGAUGUCACCACUUUGGUGUGAGCGCCCUCCUUGGGCCACGCUAGUUCAGUUCCUUCAGUCCGUGAGGAGGAACCCAAGACAGACAUAGAAAAAUUAUGCAUCUGAGUAUUUUAUACGAUUUUUCACCGUGUGGGAGAUCCUUGCUUACUUCAUAGUUAUACAAAAGAAGAUGACAGUGCAGAUUUAAUUGGAAUAAAAUACAGUCUAAUUAAUAUUUUUUGUUAUUUGUGUUAAUUUCGAAAUGAAAGGGUAUCUUUAAACCCAAGGUGCUCAGUAAACUUUGA